CACGUAGGGCGCAAGCGUUGUCCGGAAUUAUUGGGCGUAAAGAGCUCGUAGGCGGUCUGUUGCGUCCGCUGUGAAAACUCGGGGCUUAACCCCGAGCCUGCAGUGGAUACGGGCAGACUAGAGGUAGGUAGGGGAGAAUGGAAUUCCCGGUGUAGCGGUGAAAUGCGCAGAUAUCGGGAGGAACACCGGUGGCGAAGGCGGGUCUCUGGGCAGUUCCUGACGCUGAGGCACGAAGGCCAGGGGAGCAAACGGG
rnacentral:rRNA from 1 species